rnacentral:rRNA from 1 species
AGAGCGAACGCUGGCGGCAGGCCUAACACAUGCAAGUCGAGCGCGUGUAGCAAUACACGAGCGGCAGACGGGAGAGUAACACGUGGGAACGCGCCCUUCGGUUCGGAAUAACUCAGGGAAACUUGAGCUAAUACCGGAUACGCCCUUACGGGGAAAGAUUUAUUGCCGAAGGAACGGCCCGCGUCCGAUUAGCUAGUUGGUGAGGUAACGGCUCACCAAGGCGACGAUCAGUAGCUGGUCUGAGAGGAUGAUCAGCCACAUUGGGACUGAGACACGGCCCAAACUCCUACGGGAGGCAGCAGUGGGGAAUAUUGGACAAUGGGCGAAAGCCUGAUCCAGCCAUGCCGCGUGAGUGAUGAAGGCCCUAGGGUUGUAAAGCUCUUUGUGCGGGAAGAUAAUGACGGUACCGCAAGAAUAAGCCCGGCUAACUUCGUGCCAGCAGCCGC